AUUGAACGCUGGCGGCAGGCCUAACACAUGCAAGUCGAGCGAGCGGCGGACGGGUGAGUAAUGUCUGGGAAACUGCCUGAUGGAGGGGGAUAACUACUGGAAACGGUAGCUAAUACCGCAUACCAUCAGAUGUGCCCAGAUGGGAUUAGCUAGUAGGUGGGGUAACGGGCCACCUAGGCGACGAUCUGUAGCGGGUCUGAGAGGAUGAUCCGCCACACCGGGACUGAGGCACGGCCCAGACGUCUACGGGAGGCAGCAGUGGGGAAUAUUGGACAAUGGGGGGAAACCUGAUCCAGCCAAGCCGCGUGUGUGAAGAAGGCCUUAGGGUUGUAAAGCACUUUAAGCGAGGAGGCGUUACUCGCAGAAUAAGCACCGGCUAACUCUGUGCCAGCCGCCGCGGUAAUUC
rnacentral:rRNA from 1 species